rnacentral:miRNA from 1 species
CAGGAUUCCCAGUUAAACUUGAAUUUCAAAUACAUUAUGAAUAAUUUUUAAGUAUGAGUAUGCAUGCAAUAUUUGGGACAUACUUAUACUAAAAAAUUAUGUAUUGUCUAUCUAAAAUUCAUUUAACUGGGUAUCCUGU